ACCGCAGCCUUACAUGUUUGAGCCACCAGAGCCAGAAUGCAGCUCUGAGCCAGAGGACACUAACCCCCUUGAGAGUGGACCUCGGUCCUCUCAGUCUGCAACAGAGUGGUGCACCUGUGAAGAAUGCAUUACGAUGCCCACGGAGGAGCAGAAUGUUUGCUGCAAAGAAUUGAAUGCAGUCCCAUGAGCUUCACCAGAAGGGGUGUGAUUUCGGCACUCUGUUUCAUUUCUACAAGCUUCACUUUGUUUGUGUUUGGGUACAGAAUCCCGGGCAAAAUUAUUAAAGACCAUAGCCUAGUAC